AUGAUAAAAAGGGAAAUUCUACAGGAUUUGGAUGGGGAUGACCUGACCCCUCCCCCAUACUGGAUAAUGACAUGCCUGCCUCCCAGUGCUCCACCAGGACCAGAGGCUGCCUUACUGCCCAAUCCAGGGCCAGGUGAAGCUCCUACAGCUGCCACUGCUCUCCCACUAGCUCUCCCGGAGUCUGUGGGGCCGCCACUUCAGCAGGCUCCAAUGCCAGCAAUGGAGACCUCUGGUCAAUGCCCCCAGAAUUUCAACUCAGCUGGACCUCCUAGAUUGUAUCCACCUCUCCUGGUGGGCCCUCACAUGAUUGCAAGGAAAUAUGCCAGCAGCCCUGACUUGAGACCAGCCAAUCCCGGACCCAGAUUUGGUCCUGUACAUCAAGGGCACCAGCCUGGUGAAGCAAGGACAAUGACUGUCGGGAUAUGCAGUAGUCAUGGAAGAAACCAUCGUUGAGGCUAGCUCUCUGCCAUCACACUGGCCUGCUCAACAGGCCAAACUAUAUGCUCUAAUCCAGGCCCUCCCGCUGUCAAAAGGUAAGAAGACAAACACUUACACAGACUCCAAGUAUGCUUUUGCCACACUACAGGGCUCUCUCUGUAUAAGGAGAGAGGCCUUUGACAGGGAGUGAAAAAGAUAUUAAGAAUAAGGAAGAAAUUAAGACCCUAUUAGAUGCUGCCUGGGAACCAGAAAGGGUUGCAAUCAUACACUGCUUGAGGACAUCAAAAAGAGGAUACCCCCCAGACUCGGAACAGACUGGCAGACAAGACUGCUAAACAAGCAGCCGAAGGCUUGGGGGUGACAAGUGAAGCCCCUACUAAUGCUCUCAUGUUGGCGGAGCUACCUGAGCUAACGCUGCUGCUGUUAAGUCGCUUCAGUCGUAUCCAACUCUGUUCGACCCCAUAGACGGCAGCCCACCAACCUCCCCCGUCCCCGGGAUUGUCCAGGCAAGAACACUGGAGUGGGUUGCCAUUUCCUUCUAGACUCUCCAAAAUACACUGAAGCCCAAAACCAACUAGCGAAAGCAGAAGGCGCCAUCAAGACUGAAAAGGGAUGGUGGGAAUUGCCAAGUGGCAAAUUAUUGGUACCAGAGGAGCUGGCACCCACUCGGGUAAGCCAAACACACCAAGCAACCCAUCUAGGCCAUGAUAAACUGGAAGAGCUAAUUUGAAAAUAGUUUUUGGUUCCCCACCUCUCUUCCCUAUGCAGGACAAAAUCUCAGAACUGCACUGCCUGCUCACAGGUCAAUGCUGCCUCUCCACACAGACAGAAACCUCCAGGGAUUCAGGUGAAAGGCACGCUGCCCUUUAAACACCUGGAAGUGGACUUCACUGAAAUGAAACCUCACCGACACUACCAUUACCUGCUGGUCAUAGUAUGUAUAUUCUCGAGAUGGGUAGAAGAUUUUCCUACCCGGACUGAAAGAGCAUCAAAGGUAGCCUGGUGCCUGCUUAGGGAGAUAGUUCCCAGAUUUGGAUUUCCUACCAGCAUUGGAUAAGACAAUGGCCCGGCUUUCGUAGCUGAUUUAGUACAACAAGUAAGCAAAACUUCAAACAUCAAGUGGAAAUCACAUACAGCAUAUAGGCCCCAGAGUUCUGGGAUGGUGGAAGGAACCAACCGGACACUUAAAGAGACACUCUCCAAGUGGCUCUUAGAGACUGUUCCUGGGUGGACUUGUUUCCGACAGCUCUGCUCAGACUCAGGAUGACCCCACAGUCCCAUGGCCCUUCUCUGUACAAAAUUGUGUAUGGGAGGCCCCCUCCCAUAAUAAAACAGGUGUCAACAAAUUUGCCUCA
ensembl:lncRNA